CAGUCGCCACGGUAAUACGUAGGUGGCAAGCGUUGUCCGGAAUUAUUGGGCGUAAAGGGCUCGCAGGUGGUUUCUUAAGUCUGAUGUGAAAGCCCCCGGCUCAACCGGGGAGGGUCAUUGGAAACUGGGAAACUUGAGUGCAGAAGAGGAGAGUGGAAUUCCACGUGUAGCGGUGAAAUGCGUAGAGAUGUGGAGGAACACCAGUGGCGAAGGCGACUCUCUGGUCUGUAACUGACGCUGAGGAGCGAAAGCGUGGGGAGCGAACAGGAUUAGAUACCCGCGUAGUCCCUGUCUCUUAUAC
rnacentral:rRNA from 1 species